UGUGAGUUGCCAACCACUAGAAGCCUGUGGCAGUGUUUAAAUCUACAGCAAACAUGCUAACAAUUGGUUGAAGACAGGAUUAUGUAAUUCCACCUUGAUGUUCCUUUCUGUGGAGCUUACAUCAUUGUCAAAGAAACAUAAAGGCAGAACUGGGUACACUGUGUGAUUAAAGAGAGACAGGGCCUCCAACAUGCUCAAAGUAUCCAUUAAGACAUGCAACCUUCCAUGACCAUACGAAGACUCACUGGGGAUAUGCUGAUGACACAUGCAAGGAUCAUGCUGACAGUUUCUUCUGGCAUGCUCAGUGACUGGUUCUGCCAUGGUUCCUUCUCUCUGUCCUGAGUCUGCUGACUGGGUUGCUGUCUGCUGUACUUGCAUUUCCCUGAUACUACCAGCUUUGCUGCUCCUGUUGUACUUCUCUCUUCCAAAUACUGCUGCUGUUGCUCUCCCUCUUCCCAAGGAUGAGGGAAUGUAGAGUUUAUAAUUAGGAGAAACUUUAUAUGAUCAAGUCUAAUCUACCAUUUGAUGCAGAAUUCCCUCUUGAGUACUCCUGUCAAACAAUAAUUUCUGUUUUGCAUGAACAGUUUUAGUGCCGAAGAAAGUACUACUACACUCCAUGGAGCAUACCCCACUAGAAUGAAACAUGGAUUCUACUAUGAGCCUUGGGCAGCAAAAUGAAGUGAAGAGCUGGAAAUUUGCAACAUGCCUAACAUUUGGUGCUGAAAUCCAGGACAGGGGAUCUUCUACAGGAGACCAAACCCCUGUCCUUACUCCUCCUUGUGCUCCCUCUAUGAAGAGAUCUGCCUACAACCUAGGCUCACCAGAUCAGCCCACGGAUCCACUCACCAUCUUUGGAUCAGAUGCUCUAAUAUUCAUGUAUAAAGCUAUGUUGCUUGAUGAAGGUGGAAAAGAGAAGGAGAAAACAGCAGGAAUCCUGAGUUGCCUCAUUUUGCUAUUAGAAAAUUUUGAAGCAUUGGUUGGGUUGCCUCCUGAGAAAGAUGGUCCAGCAUUAUGUUUAACAUCAGCUACUAUUCCACCAUAUGGGAGUAGCUUGGUUUAUGCAAAUACUGCCCCAGUGUUGGACAGAGGAUAUGAAGUUGGUACUGAUGAGCUACUCAUAGGGUUCAAAUUUGCAUACGGCAGAGACUAAAGAAGGUAAGUGAGAAAUCACCUUAAAACUUUUUUCUUUUAUUCAGCAAAGUGGAAUAUUCUUUGAGAUAACUUCAUCCAAAAAAAUGUUAAUGUAAAAGUAUAUCUUUAGGCAAACCAAAAAAUGUAGUGUAAUAGAUACACGCUUUCUACUAUUUAAAAUUCUGGAUUUAACUUUUAGAAGAAUAAAACUCAUUUUAGCAACA
rnacentral:lncRNA from 13 species